AGAGGUAGAUGCAGGCUACAGCAUGUCUGGUGUGACUUCUUAUUGUAGAGGUAGAUGCAGGCUACAGCAUGUCUCGUGUGACUUCUUAUUGUAGAGGUAGAUGCAGGAUACAGCAUGUCUGGUUUGACUUCUUAUUGUAGAGGUAGAUGCAGGCUACAGCAUGUCUGGUUUGACUUCUUAUUGUAGAGGUAGAUGCAGGCUACAGCAUGUCUGGUGUGACUUCUUAUUGUAGAGGUAGAUGCAGGCUACAGCAUGUCUGGUGUGACUUCUUAUUGUAGAGGUAGAUGCAGGCUACAGCAUGUCUGGUGUGACCUCUUAUUGUAGAGGUAGAUGCAGGCUACAGCAUGUCUGGUGUGACUUCUUAUUGUAGAGGUAGAUGCAGGCUACAGCAUGUCUGGUGUGACUUCUUAUUGUAGAGGUAGAUGCAGGCUACAGCAUGUCUGGUGUGACUUCUUAUUGUAGAGGUAGAUGCAGGCUACAGCAUGUCUGGUGUGACUUCUUAUGUAGGCUACAUGCAGGCUACAGCAUGUCUGGUGUGACUUCUUAUUGUAGAGGUAGAUGCAGGCUACAGCAUGUCUCGUGUGACUUCUUAUUGUAGAGGUAGAUGCAGGCUACAGCAUGUCUGGUGUGACUUCUUAUUGUAGAGGUAGAUGCAGGCUACAGCAUGUCUGGUGUGACUUCUUAUUGUAGAGGUAGAUGCAGGCUACAGCAUGUCUGGUGUGACUUCUUAUUGUAGAGGUAGAUGCAGGCUACAGCAUGUCUCGUGUGACUUCUUAUUGGAGAGGUAGAUGCAGGCUACAGCAUGUCUGGUGUGACUUCUUAUUGUAGAGGUAGAUGCAGGCUACAGCAUGUCUCGUGUGACUUCUUAUUGUAGAGGUAGAUGCAGGCUACAGCAUGUCUGGUGUGACUUCUUAUUGUAGAGGUAGAUGCAGGCUACAGCAUGUCUGGUGUGACUUCUUAUUGUAGAGGUAGAUGCAGGCUACAGCAUGUCUGGUGUGACUUCUUAUUGUAGAGGUAGAUGCAGGCUACAGCAUGUCUCGUGUGACUUCUUAUUGUAGAGGUAGAUGCAGGCUACAGCAUGUCUGGUGUGACUUCUUAUUGUAGAGGUAGAUGCAGGCUACAGCAUGUCUGGUGUGACUUCUUAUUGUAGAGAUAGAUGCAGGCUACAGGAUGUCUGGUGUGACUUCUUAUUGUAGAGGUAGAUGCAGGCUACAGCAUGUCUGGUGUGACUUCUUAUUGUAGAGGUAGAUGCAGGCUACAGCAUGUCUGGUGUGACUUCUUAUUGUAGAGGUAGAUGCAGGCUACAGCAUGUCUCAUGUGACUUCUUAUUGUAGAGGUAGAUGCAGGCUACAGCAUGUCUCAUGUGACUUCUUAUUGUAGAGGUAGAUGCAGGCUACAGCAUGUCUGGUGUGACUUCUUAUUGUAGAGGUAGAUGCAGGCUACAGCAUGUCUGGUGUGACUUCUUAUUGUAGAGGUAGAUGCAGGCUACAGCAUGUCUGGUGUGACUUCUUAUUGUAGAGGUAGAUGCAGGCUACAGCAUGUCUGGUGUGACUUCUUAUUGUAGAGGUAGAUGCAGGCUACAGCAUGUCUGGUGUGACUUCUUAUUGUAGAGGUAGAUGCAGGCUACAGCAUGUCUGGUGUGACUUCUUAUUGUAGAGGUAGAUGCAGGCUACAGCAUGUCUCGUGUGACUUCUUAUUGUAGAGGUAGAUGCAGGCUACAGCAUGUCUGGUGUGACUUCUUAUUGUAGAGGUAGAUGCAGGCUACAGCAUGUCUGGUGUGACUUCUUAUGUAGGCUACAUGCAGGCUACAGCAUGUCUGGUGUGACUUCUUAUUGUAGAGGUAGAUGCAGGCUACAGCAUGUCUCGUGUGACUUCUUAUUGUAGAGGUAGAUGCAGGCUACAGCAUGUCUGGUGUGACUUCUUAUUGUAGAGGUAGAUGCAGGCUACAGCAUGUCUGGUGUGACUUCUUAUUGUAGAGGUAGAUGCAGGCUACAGCAUGUCUCGUGUGACUUCUUAUUGGAGAGGUAGAUGCAGGCUACAGCAUGUCUGGUGUGACUUCUUAUUGUAGAGGUAGAUGCAGGCUACAGCAUGUCUCGUGUGACUUCUUAUUGUAGAGGUAGAUGCAGGCUACAGCAUGUCUGGUGUGACUUCUUAUUGUAGAGGUAGAUGCAGGCUACAGCAUGUCUGGUGUGACUUCUUAUUGUAGAGGUAGAUGCAGGCUACAGCAUGUCUGGUGUGACUUCUUAUUGUAGAGGUAGAUGCAGGCUACAGCAUGUCUCGUGUGACUUCUUAUUGUAGAGGUAGAUGCAGGCUACAGCAUGUCUGGUGUGACUUCUUAUUGUAGAGGUAGAUGCAGGCUACAGCAUGUCUGGUGUGACUUCUUAUUGUAGAGAUAGAUGCAGGCUACAGCAUGUCUGGUGUGACUUCUUAUUGUAGAGGUAGAUGCAGGCUACAGCAUGUCUGGUGUGACUUCUUAUUGUAGAGGUAGAUGCAGGCUACAGCAUGUCUGGUGUGACUUCUUAUUGUAGAGGUAGAUGCAGGCUACAGCAUGUCUCAUGUGACUUCUUAUUGUAGAGGUAGAUGCAGGCUACAGCAUGUCUGGUGUGACUUCUUAUUGUAGAGGUAGAUGCAGGCUACAGCAUGUCUGGUGUGACUUCUUAUUGUAGAGGUAGAUGCAGGCUACAGCAUGUCUGGUGUGACUUCUUAUUGUAGAGGUAGAUGCAGGCUACAGCAUGUCUGGUGUGACUUCUUAUUGUAGAGGUAGAUGCAGGCUACAGCAUGUCUGGUGUGACUUCUUAUUGUAGAGGUAGAUGCAGGCUACAGCAUGUCUGGUGUGACUUCUUAUUGUAGAGGUAGAUGCAGGCUACAGCAUGUCUGGUGUGACUUCUUAUUGUAGAGGUAGAUGCAGGCUACAGCAUGUCUGGUGUGACUUCUUAUUGUAGAGGUAGAUGCAGGCUACAGCAUGUCUGGUGUGACUUCUUAUUGUAGAGGUAGAUGCAGGCUACAGCAUGUCUCGUGUGACUUCUUAUUGUAGAGGUAGAUGCAGGCUACAGCAUGUCUGGUGUGACUUCUUAUUGUAGAGGUAGAUGCAGGCUACAGCAUGUCUCGUGUGACUUCUUAUUGUAGAGGUAGAUGCAGGCUACAGCAUGUCUGGUGUGACUUCUUAUUGUAGAGGUAGAUGCAGGCUACAGCAUGUCUGGUGUGACUUCUUAUUGUAGAGGUAGAUGCAGGCUACAGCAUGUCUGGUGUGACUUCUUAUGUAGGCUACAUGCAGGCUACAGCAUGUCUGGUGUGACUUCUUAAUGUAGAGGUAGAUGCAGGCUACAGCAUGUCUGGUGUGACUUCUUAUUGUAGAGGUAGAUGCAGGCUACAGCAUGUCUGGUUUGACUUCUUAAUGUAGAGGUAGAUGCAGGCUACAGCAUGUCUGGUGUGACUUCUUAUUGUAGAGGUAGAUGCAGGCUACAGCAUGUCUGGUUUGACUUCUUAAUGUAGAGGUAGAUGCAGGCUACAGCAUGUCUGGUGUGACUUCUUAUUGUAGAGGUAGAUGCAGGCUACAGCAUGUCUGGUGUGACUUCUUAUGUAGGCUACAUGCAGGCUACAGCAUGUCUGGUGUGACUUCUUAUUGUAGAGGUAGAUGCAGGCUACAGCAUGUCUGGUGUGACUUCUUAUUGUAGAGGUAGAUGCAGGCUACAGCAUGUCUGGUGUGACUUCUUAUUGUAGAGGUAGAUGCAGGCUACAGCAUGUCUGGUGUGACUUCUUAUUGUAGAGGUAGAUGCAGGCUACAGCAUGUCU